GAGUAUCUGUGUAUUAUUCGAGGCUGCUGUCUUUAAUGUGAGAUCUCCUUCCUUUUGUUCCUCGGGAGUCGGGAUCGCCACUUUACAUGUUUCAUGCUCCUCCUUUAUUUGUCUACAAGCACCCAGGCAUAUGCUCAGAAGGACCUUCCUUUAUUUGUCUCUCGUGUUUUGCAUCUUCAAGGAUACGAUAACCUCAAUCUGAAAUCAAAUUCCAACUCGAUCGCUGCAAUGUUACUUUACAAGUUAUAUAUCUUAACUACUUAGGUUGAGCCUUCACACCAGCAUGCAUGGCACCGACACCAACUAUAUAUGAUGUCAUCAGGAAAGAAAGAAGGGAC
rnacentral:lncRNA from 1 species